GGCUGUCUGUCUGCUUGGUGAUGGUCCAUGUGUAGCGUUGCUGUUUGUUUGUGUCUUGCAAUUGGACAGCAGCACUCACACAAUGCCAGCAGCCAAACAGAAACCUGAGAUCAUAGUACUGGUCUGGUGAAGUCUUUGUGACAAUCUACCACUGGUCAGCCUCCAAACUCUCAAACAGUA